AUUGAAUUGUAUGUAUGUGAUUGUGUUAUUUCCAUGUAUAUGAAAGUAAUAACAUAUCCAACGAUGACUGACAAGCAUUAAAUCCCGUUUGAAUAAGUGAAAUUUGAUGGAUACAGGGUUCCCGAAUUGGUUAUGGUCCUGCAUAUGUUGCAGACACACCACAGCUCAAAAAAUCGUCUCGUUAUUAGCCUUCUCAAGCUUCCCGUUAUAUGGUUCUUGUGAACUUCCGGUUAAUAUCUC
rnacentral:lncRNA from 1 species